GAUUCAAGGAGUGGGGAGGCAGGAAGAAGGGAAAUCCAUCACUUGCUUAGGGUCCUUAUUGUAUCCGUGUCAGUCUGAGAAGAGCUGCUGUUCUUCAGCCAGGAGUUUGAUGAUUUCGACGGUUUCAGUAUUUAUCCAAUUGGGGUAUAUGUGGAUCCAAGAACUUGUAAACAAAGUUUGCUUCAUUUGCCAUUUUUAAGCUUCUUAUCAUAUGGUCAGAUUGUACCCAGCGAUUUGGAGAAAUGAGAGAAGUUGUAUAUAUUGUCCCCAUCCUCAGGUUCCCAGACUGUAAGAGGACAGAGAGAAUUGGAGGUCAGAGCUGCACGUGAAGUCAGCUGUUAUUAGAGACUGCUUAAAUAACUUUGGAAGAUUAAAUUGUUUUGGAGAACUUGAACUGACUAGAAAUGAGGGGCGUUGUGUGAUAGUUAAUGCAGAGCUCAAACUAAUCACUACCAAUAACAAUAAGGUACUUUUUUUUUUUUUUGUCUUUUGUCUUUUUUGUUGUUGUUGUUGUUGUUGCUAUUUCUUGGGCCGCUCCCGCGGCAUAUGGAGGUUCCCAGGCUAGGGGUCGAAUCGGAGCUGUAGCCACCGGCCUACGCCAGAGCCACAGCAACGCGGGAUCCGAGCUGCGUCUGCUACCUACACCACAGCUCACGGCAACGCCGGAUCGUUAACCCACUGAGCAAGGGCAGGGACCGAACCCGCAACGUCAUGGUUCCUAGUCGGAUUCGUUAACCACUGUGCCACGACGGGAACUCCUCAUUUUUUUACAGUCAUUUUCUUUGAAUAGUAAGGCAC
rnacentral:lncRNA from 1 species